UCGAAGGUUGCACGGAGCGCCGCGUCUUGUGGCCACUGCGUCGGGAUUGGCAGCUAGGAGCCUCUAGAUCAGGAAUUGUUGCCGAGGACCGCCGCAACGAGAGAGGUCAUGGUAUUUCAGGAUGUUCCGGGUCCGGAAUUGUUGCCGAGGACCGUCGCAACGAUUGGGGCCAUGGAAAUGGAUGUAAAGUUAAAUUUUAGGUGCCUAGGCUGGACGAUAUUUGGAGAUAUGUUUUUCAGGUAGGCUAUUCUGAAGGUACAUUUGUAGCAGCUAAUAUUAAGGCCGUCGUAGCUGGGAUGCCGUGGUUUUGGGUUCUUCAAGUUUGCGAUUAAUCUUGAGAUACAUUUGUAGCAGCUAAUAUUAAGGCCAUCGUAGCUGGGAUGCCGUGGUUUUGAGUU